GUCCCUGAAAACUUUUGAUAUCGAAAGAGGAAGUUAUGAUCUCAUAGUCAAGAGAUUGUAAUAUUUUGAAUCUUCAGAUCCUCUCUCAAACAAACUUGAACUUGAUAUAUCCUCUUCAAUUUGUAUCUCAAGUGAACACUUUUUCCGCCAUUCUAUAUUCUUUGACGACUUAGGGUUUCUCUUUAUUCAUAUUCUCGAAGAACCUGGAUUAGGACUUCACUUAUUUUCUUUCAUAAUCCUGUAAUUAGGCUCGAAAAGAGCUGAUUCGGCAAGGGUUAGGAGGAAUUGUUAAGGCAAAGAAACUGAUCUGAUUCCUAGGAAAGUCUGAAUCUUAAAGGGAACAUGGCUGAUCAGGUCUUGAAAGGGAGCCAACCGGCAUCCUUCUAGUUUUGGCGACGAAAGAAUCGGUUCAAUGGAACCCGUGGCAUCGGCCACGUGUCACCAUCCAACCGGCCCUCCGCCAGCCUCCGCCAAAGUCAGAUGCCAUAGAGGAUCUCGAUCCAACUCCGAAACCUCAUCCCGACUCAUCCCUUGGGUUUGAACGUGUAUAAGUUUCAAUUUUUUUCUCUCUUUUUGCGUCUCUGUCUCUCUGCAGCUUAUUCCUCAUAUAUUCACAGUAACGAGCGCGUGUGGGGAGCAGAGUCGCCAUGACUCAGCAAUGCUAUCAUUGCAGCCAUAACAGGCACAACUCACGCACCUGCCUGACAAGAGGAGGGUGAAGUUGUUCAGUGUUCCGACUCACGAAUGGUUCCAUAAAGAAGAGUGCGAGUAUGGGCAACCUCUCAUCUGAGUCCAUAAAGAAGAGUGCGAGUAUGGGAAACUUCUCUGCUCACUAUUGCUCGUCUUCCUCUGCUGCGGCUUCUCCCAAUCCCGGUCUGCCGUCGACACCGGGGAGGAUGUCAACGAUCUUCACCACCGGUGUUCUGGCGAGGAGCAAGAAGGGUGGGUAUGCGAAGACCCAUGUGUUCGUUCACGAUUUCAAGAGGGAGGCGAAGAGAGUUUGCAGUGAGGAGUUCUUGUGCAGGGAGAACCUGGUGCAGUCAAAGGACCUCCUCGCCCAUUUCGCAAUCGAGAGAAGGAACGGAUAUGCCUCGGAAUUCUGUCGCAACCGUACAUCGGCAUCAUCAUUUUUUUCCUCCUAGAAAUUUCUCUGUUAAUUUAGAUUUCUUUUCCCUUGUACAUAGUUACAAUCACCUGAAAGGUGUUUGUGUAGUUGUGUCUUAUAGUUUUCAAAUACAUGGUUUGAAAAUGAAGUAUCAGCAAGAGUGUUGGUUCUAGCGCAAUGACCGGAGCCCCUUCUUUCACAAAAACCUAGCGGCUGUACGAAGAAGAAAUCAUUGGAGUUGAUUAUAGAAGAUGUGUGAAGGGUAGUGAGGACAGUACUAUUAAGUUCAUGGAAACAUACAAUCAAGUUAAUUCUAGCACCUCUUUUGGAAUUUGCAUAUUUUGAUGGAGCUGUGAAGCAUCUUUUUCCAUUGAAUUUCAUUUGAAGGCUGUGGUAUCUUGGUCCUGACUUCUACUAUGCUGUAAAUAUUGGCAUUUUUCAAUAUCAGCUGAAGUUUAACACACACUGCAAGGAUUAUUUGAUGAUUGCAACCAGUGGAGGACUGAAUCAAAAAAGGACCGGGGUUAGAUUCUUUAGCCCUUAUUUGAUGAUUGCAAAUACAGACUUGUUAUAAUUGCCUUACCAGUGGGACAUGCAACUAGAAGAAGGCUGGGUUCUUCGGAGCCUUGUCGAAGGUGCAUGUUUGCAAGACAUCGGGUGUCGACCAGGUUG